AGAAUGUUAAAGAUUAAAAAAAAAACCUUUCAUUUAUAUUAUCCAGAUAAUGAGUAAGUUAAACUCCCAAAUGCAGGAAAUUAAAUGCAGAAUCUAAUAUACGCAUUGAUUGCCCUGUGCAUUUCUGCUUUCUACAUGCACAUCUGUAACACACCCACACACACACAAUCUGUCAAGUUAGCUCGGUACAUUUCACAUACUGCAGAGAAUUAUGUCUACCAAGAUUCAGAAGGAUAUUAAGGUUAAAAACUAUUUCAAAUGCUGCUAUGGCUGCAGAUCACAAUAGAAAGCUUCCUUGGUGUUCAGACCAAUAAAUAAAUUAGAAGAAGGGCUUUAAGCGCUGCAUGAUAAAAUGAACUGAAAGUAGGGCAGAGAAAGAACAACCUUUGUAAGGAGCCUUGCCUGGGGCUAAGAAGAAUCAGAAGUUCAUUGUGUAUUUCAGAGCAUGGUGCAACAGUGUUGCAAAGAGUUGGUGACUGAGGUUUUCCAGAGCCUCGGGGUACUAGCAUUUUAGCUGUAUGUAAUGAUAGUGAAUGCUUCAGAUAUACUAAAUAAAUCUUGUUUCUGGAGCUUACAUUUUAAAGAUGCAGCUCAAGAAUAGAAAGGGAUACUUCUUGUGAUACGUUCUUAGCCAACGGGGUGUGCUAUGCCUCAUCUCUCUUUUUUGCCUUUCCUUGAGUAUUUGUAUUAUCUGUAGGGUGCCUUUUUGGGUACAAUGAUAAGUUUCCACUCGCUGUAUGUACCCCAGAUCUUUAUGUACCCUAUUUCUAUGAGUACAUCAAUUCAGCCAUUUGAAAAUAGUUCAUUAUAUUAAAAAGGCACAUUUGGAGAACUCCCAAUUCAAUUCAAAUCCUAGAUCCAAAGUGAAGAAGGUGUUUUUGCUUGGUUAAAGGCAAAGUUUUUUGAAGGCAUGCUGGGGAACAUGGUGAAGACCUGCAGUGUUACCAAAAUGCCAGUAAAAGAACAGUAAAGGUGGUAAAAGACAGAGAUAGGCAAGUAAGCAGACUGCAGUGGCACAUAACAUAGAAUUGCUAGGAAGACUUAGAACACUGGUUCUCAACCUGUGGUCCCCAGAGGUUUUGGCCUUCAACUCCUGGAAAUCCUAACAGAUAAUAAGCUGGCUGGGAUUUCUGGGAGUUGUAGGCCAAAACACCUGGGGACCCGCAGGUUGAGAAUCACUGACUUAGAACAUUUCUAGAUAGAACUUAUUUUAUCAGCUGCUGGUAGGUCAAACCACAGAUACCAGUUUCAUGGAUGUCAGGGCUGUACUCUAUUUUCCAUCUUUAAACUAUUGGGAAAUGAGUAUAAAAAUGAUAAAUGAAUAGUGGGUAGUUUUUUGUGCUGUCAUGUUACUGCUAAUCAGGUUAUAAAAUGAAAAUCAGUGAACCCAACGUGUAGGUGUAUGAAUUGAUUAGGCAUAUAUACCAUUUUGCUUAUAUGCUGAAGUCUGAUACCUGUUCUUCCUUUCUUAUUACCAGUUAAUCACAAAAAAUCCAGACAGCCAAAAGCUUCUUCUCAAUUUUGUCUUUAAACAAUUUGACUGUCAGACCUGUGGGGAAAUUUCAAUCAAUUUCUUUUUUAAAAGGCUUCCUCUCCAAUCAGUCCAGCUGAAGAAAGAAACCAGCUUUAGUGGUUAUGAGGACAGAGCAAAAACAACAAAAUGGUCUUCUGUAGUUUACUUGCCAGUUUGGAAGCCUCUUGGCCUCAUCUUUAUGUCUUAUCUCUCAUAUAUUUUGUCAUUUCAGUUGAAUAUUUUUUCUUGUAGAUUCUUCCCUCCCUCCCUCCUCCUUCUCUUUCUUUGGAUUGCCUUCUAAAGAAAAGAAUUGCAACUGAUUUGAUAUGAAUGUAGCCUCGAGUAACAUUCUGUUCUACUGUAGUUAUCUGAAACUAGACACAUGCACACACGCUACACUCUGAACUGGGACCACAAGUACUUCUAUAGGCUUUCUGAAACUUCACACAGUGACUUUGUGUAUAAUUUUUAUACUUUUUCUUCCUUUUAAAAAUUAGUGUAUUUUGAAAAAAGGGAACUUUUCUUGAAAUAAUAAUGGUAUGCCUUUUAAAAUGCAUGAUAGCCAAUAGCACUAAUUUGUGUUGAGUCCACUAUAAGCUGGCAGAGUUCCACAUAUAUUAGUUCUGUUAUAUUCCUGGAAGAAUUUCCCUGCUUAGGGAUCUGAAGGUUUUCUUUUUAACUGAGAAAGCUAAUCCACCAAAGUUUUAAUAUAAUCUGAUUAAACUGUAUUUUCAGUAAGAUAAUUCAAUUGACACCUGCAGACACCUACUGAAACCACCCAAAUUUAAAAAAUGACUCCAGAACAGUAGAAUGUCUAUUGCUAACCUAAUGAAUGUGUUUGAGCACUCCAUAUUAUCGUACUGGAUAGACUCUGUGGCAAAAAGAAAUGUCUUAGGGCGGUUCCGGGCAGCACUUUAAUGCAAGUCCAAUCGGGUUUUAAAAACCCAAUUGGACUAGCAUUGAAGUCUGUACACACCCCAGAAAGUGCAUGUUUUUCUGGAAGGGGUGGGGUUCCAGAUGCCCUGCCGAGCUUUCUAGCAGGGCACCAGGACACAAAAGAAAACCCCUUAAAAAGCCUUAAAAACAGGAAAAUAACUUACACGGCAGCCAUUUCCCCUUCUCCAGAGCUCUUCUGGCUCACGCCAAUGACAAGCCAACAGAAGGGGGGGAGGAAAAUUUCUCCUGGCCCCCCCUUCUGCUAGUACAUCAUUGAUACAAGCCAGAAGAGCUCUGAAGAAGGGAAAAUGACUACCGUGUCAGUUAUUUUCCCGGUUUAAGGCUUUCUAAAGGGUUUUGGGAGAGCAGCCCAAGAAACCCAAGACAGAUGUGUAGAUGGGCACCAGCAAUCCCAUCUACAUAGCACCAGCAGCUGGAAAGACAUUUCUUUCCUGCUAACAAAUAAUCUCGGCACAAAGCAGUUUUCCUCCUUUGUGCUGAAAGUAUUAGUGUUUUUGUGGGCUAUCAUCUGGACACUCCCCGCAAAUAUCCAGGAUGGCAUCGGUUUUGUGCCCUGUUUGGAUGGGCCCUAAGUCCUUCAAAGGACUAACAACCUUUACCACCCAUGAAGGUCCAUUAACUCAUAGGAAAUCUCAUUUGGUAAUACCCAACUUCACUCUACUCUCACAUAGAGCAGAAAUGGAUUCUGAAAAGAACAAUGAAUGCUGAGGUCCACACAAAAUUAGGCUGAGGGCAGCAGGUUCUCCAUCAGUAAUGUGCAUUAAAGGUCUGUGUAGAACCUCCCUAAGAUGGUAGUGGGAGAUAUGAUACCAAGAUUGUAACAUUCAACCAGAAGACAACAUUGCAAAAUCAAUUACAGUAAGGUAUAUUAUCCACAGAUCAUUUGUAAUAAAAAUGAGGCAGUGAUUUUGAGAAUAAAAAUUGAAUUUUUAGGUAGCACCUCAGUGAGAGGGUAUCAGCUUCAUUGUUCUUUCCUUUGUCAGAAUGUGGAGGGACAUAAUUAUGUUUCAGAAAUUUCACUUAUCUGAUGGAAAUCAUGACUUCUAUGUGUUUCCUUUGUACAAAUCGCAGCAGUGAUAGUCAUCAGUUAUGUAAACCAGUAUUUUUUGCAGAUCUUUUAUAUUUCUCAAAACAUUUUGAAAGAAUCUUCCAUUUUCAUAUAACCCUUUAGGGUAAGGGCAAAGGUCAGCACUCAUAGGCAAACUGUCUGCCUUUAUUUUGUCUUUGACCAUUUGGUUUGUUUGUUUCUUAUGUUUUUCUUUUUUUAGCUUAAGGGAGGUUUCCUCUGACACAGUUUUCAAAUGGCUGAAUUAGGAAAAUGGCACACAUGAGGGUUUCUCUCUUUUUUAUUAUAUGUUUGUGUCUGGAGGUGGUAUAAUAAUAGUUGAGAAGGGCAAAUAUUCUUCUGGGGGGAAAAGAUGGAAAUAGCGUGAAAGAAUUCCUUACUCAUAUACAACAAAUAUGUAGAGAGUUUUGUCUUUAGAGACACAUGAACAAGGUGGACAGUGUUACAGCUUUGAGUGGGAAACAAGAGGAAGUAAUUAUAUUUAUAUUGUAAAUUAUAUUAUUAACAAUUAGUAUAAUUAUGAGCACUUAUAUUUAAUUAUAAAGUAUUAAAUAUAAUAUUUAAUUAUGGCAGCCAGUAUAGUGUGGUGAUUUGAGCAUUGAACUAGGACUCUGGGGAACCAGAGUUUGAAUCUCUGCUAAGACAUGGGAACCCACUUGGUGAUUUUGGGCAAGUCAAACACACUCAGCCUCAGAGGAAUGCAAAGGGAAUGCCCCUCUGAACAAAUCUUACAAAGAAAGGUGUUGUGACUGCGCCUUCGGGGAUUAUGGUUGAUGGUGAUGGGAUCCGAAGAGGAAGAAAAAACCCUCGUGAUGAGGGUUCACUGGAGGAGUUGCGCAGGAAGCGACUUAGAGAGCUAUAUGGGGGAUCUUCUGAGGAAGAUUCAGAUGGGGAGUUUGGGGAAAUGGAUGCUGAGGAACAGGUGGUGGCUGGAGAAGUGGGCACUGAAUGGGCACAGCCACCAGAGAUGUCUGGGGAUUUGGGGCCUAUGGAUACUACUGAACCUGGGGUUUCUGCAGGAGCUGAUCCCACUUGGGAUGCUUGGAGAAGGAAGGACGGUUCUUUAAGUGUUCAUGGGGCUAAGUGUGGGCAGGAUGAUUGGGACUCCGAUGAAUUGCUAGGUACUCCAGAUCCACGAGCUCUAGCUGUGUGGAGCUCAGACUCUGAGUAGAUUUGGGACACCUGGUGUUUGGGUGUGAGUGUUUGGUCACCCAGGAGGAAGGGGAAUAAAAUGGGAAUGUUUGGCCAAUGCACUUUGCGUGUGGCAAGGUGUUGCUAAGGGGCGCCAGUGGGCUCUCUGUGUUUCCGUGAAGACUGGACUUGGACUGUGAUUCGGAUCUGCUGAUACCAUCUGGCUUGGCUCUCGCUGUGUCUUAUCGUGGACCUGGUUUGGAUGACUGCACCCUCUUCGGACUUUGGAUUGAAUUUGACCUGGCUUCUGUCUACGCUCCCUGACUGACGACUACUCCCGGCUUCUGACUCCUGGAAUUUGCUGCUGCCUCUCGACCUGACCUUGGAUUCUCCUGACGACGGCUAUUCAUCAUCCCUUUGAAGUUUCGGCUUUAUCUGCACCGUGGAAGCAGUUUACUGCUCUUCUAGUUUGUUUGUUUUUAAGCCAGUUUGCUGUUUUUCUUUUUGGAACUGUCCCUUUAACUCCGCAGAGCCGGCUGUCUGUUUUCAGAAACGGUUUGGAGCUAAAAGAAGCUUUUGCACUUUCUGUUAUACUCUGCAGCUUUUGGAAGGUUGCAAGCCUUCAUUUAUUUUGCAUGUUAUCUUGCAGUCAACUCUAUUUGUUUCUUCUAAGCUGAAUUGAAGCGUCCUUAGUUUUUAUUGAAUGCCAGCAUGGGAAAAUAGCAUGGCUUGUUUUUGUGUUAUUUUUGGCUUAUCUUCAGAAUAAACUCUGUUUUGUUUGUUAA